rnacentral:lncRNA from 1 species
CAGCAGCAGACAUGAGGACAGCCGCUCCCCUUCCUUUGCAUUGGUAGGACUUCCAAAGUAGUCAAGGACUUCCUACUUCCUCCAUUACCUACGGCAACAAAGACAAUGAAGAGAAGGAAGUGGUACUUCCUUCCUAGCCAAUCCAUUUUCUGGGAUGGAACCAGGUGGGUGCUGUUCUUGGUUUAUUUUUGUAAAAUGAGGUUUGGGAUUGUUUGGGUUGCGGGGAGGAGGGAGAUGCAGGAGCACAACUGAGGGCUGAGGUGGGCAUUGGUUCUAAAUCAGCUUUCUGCAUGGGCAUUUGCUCAGCACCCGCUGCCAUGGUAGCCCCCCCUUGGUAAAGAAAUAGACCCAGAUUCCGUGUUCUAGGCAGUGCUUCUUGACUAUAGUACCUGAAUCAAUGGUUCCAGAACUACCCAAGGAACUUGUCAGAUAUGGACCCCUGAGCCUUCCCUACUGGAUCAGCAUCUCUGGGGCUGAGCCCAGUUCCCAGCCUGGAUAUUAAUGAUUACCCUAGAGCUGGAGAAUCAUUGUUCUAGAGUUUUCCAUUCAAGACAGGAGUGCUCAGUGAUGUCGUCUGUGUUCUUCAUCUCUGCUUCUUGAACAAACUUUUUACUGAGCGUGUUGACCAUGCGCCAGACAUUCAGCUACUUGUUAUCUUUGCUGAGAGCCAUGAAAAUAAGACUGCCAACUAUUCAAAAGCGGAACUGUGCCCACAUUGGAGUUAUAUCCUUGCCCCACGGGCCCCCAGCGGCCAGCCCAGCUCUGGCCACAUUUACAGGUCAAGGCGUGGGUCAAAUCUUGAAUGCUUCCUUUUAAGAACCUGGUCUUAGCCUGCUUUCCUCCGCACGCCCACCCCCCCACCAUCAGUGACAGAUAAUAAACAAAUAAUCUUUGC